rnacentral:rRNA from 1 species
GUCCUUAGUUGCUACCAUUUAGUUGAGCACUCUAAGGAGACUGCCGGUGAUAAGCCGCGAGGAAGGUGGGGAUGACGUCAAGUCCUCAUGGCCCUUACGGGCUGGGCUACACACGUGCUACAAUGGCGGUGACAAUGGGCAGCGAAGGGGCGACCUGGAGCAAAUCCCCAAAAACCGUCUCAGUUCGGAUUGUUCUCUGCAACUCGAGAGCAUGAAGUUGGAAUCGCUAGUAAUCGCGGAUCAGCAUGCCGCGGUGAAUACGUUCCCGGGCCUUGUACACACCGCCCGUCACACCAUGGGAGUUGGUUCUACCCGAAG